ensembl:lncRNA
UGUGUGUUUCUUAGAGGGAGAGGGAGAUAAUGAGUGUGUAUACAUGUGUGUGUGUGUGUGAGAGGUAGAGAGAGUUGUGGAGGUUGUGGUGUGUGAGAGAGAGGGAGAGGUAGAGAGAGUUGUGGAGGUUGUGGUGUGUGAGAGAGAGGGAGAGGUAGAGAGAGUUGUGGAGGUUGUGGUGUGUGUGUGAGAGGGAGAGGUAGAGAAUGAGUGUGUAUACAUGUGUGUGUGUGGGGGGGGGGAGAGGGAGAGGUAGAGAAUGAGUAUGUAUAUAUGUGUGUGUGUGUGGGAGAGGGAGAGAUAGAGAGAGUUGUGGAGGUUGUGGUGUGUGUGUGUGUGUGUGUGUGAGGUAGAGAGAGUUGUGGAGGUUGUGGUGUGUGUGUGUGUGUGUAUGUGUGUGUGUGUGUGUGUGUGUGUGUGUGUGUGUGUGUGUGUGUGUGUGUGUGUGUGUGUGUGUGUGUGUGUGUGUGUGUGAGGUAGAGAGAGUUGUGGAGGUUGUGGUGUGUUCUAGCUCUUGGGCCAAGCAGGUAAUGCAUGGAGACGUUGUUCUCAUUUCCAUCAAAGUACAGGCAGCAGUCAGAGCAGACAUGCCCCCUCUUCCUGGUGUUG